CUAAAUAAAUAAUCAAAAAUUAAAAAAUAGGGAAAAAAAUAAAAAGAAAAUUAAGAAAAGAAAUAAAAAGGGUUGUCUCCUUCAGCCACCCCUUGCUCUCUCUAUGUCUCUCUCUCUCCUUGAAAUUAGCCACCAGUACUACUGUCGUCAGUACCACCUCUAGGAAACCAAUCACACUACUGUCGGUAACAUUUCCUUUGCACACCCACCGCCAAAAAUCCAAUCAUACACCCAUCGUCCUUAUACUGAAUCAGUUUUUACUGGCUGUUGACAAAAUUGAACAAAUUUCUCCAAAACCUCGGGAUCUUUCACCAAUUGUUUAUUGCCCAAAGCUACAAUAAGCUAAGGUAAAAGCCUAGCAUCAGUUGAAGCUAAGAACUUGCCAUUUUAUUCCAUUUCCUUCCCGAAUAAAAUCAACCUCAAAACUAGAACGGUAUUUUCUAUGAUUUCUAGCCUCAAAAUUUUAUCAAUCAACAAAUGAAUUUAUAGAAAUGUUGAGGUAGGGUUUUUGGUUUUGGGUGUUGGUUUGAUGUUAUGGAGGAUUUUACUGUGCAGCUCUUGCUCAAUGGUGGGGUGGGGUUUUUGGUGUAGGUUUGAUGGUUGUGGUGGCGGUUGGUUUUGGGUGGCUUUGACCGAUCGGGAGGAUGUGGUGUCGACUUUGUUGGUUGUUGUGGAAAAGGGGAUAGGGAUGGGAAUGGGGUGUUUGGAGGAGACCAUUUUUUUCUUUCCAUUUUUUGGUUUUUUUAUUUUUUCCUUAUUUUUUGGUUCAUUUAUUUAGCCUCGUUUGAGCCACAUUAUUGUAAAAAUGAGAAUGAAAAAUAUAACUGUUAUUGGCCCCACACAAGAGAUAAAAAGCCAAAUAUAAUGACUUGAUGUGAUGGAUAAUGAUCAUAUUUUUCAUUCUAAUGAAGAAAUAAUAAAACUCAAACAGGGCCUAAAUAUGAUAAUUAUUAAGUUACUAUUCUAGCAUGUUUAAUUUGGUUAAGAUUAAUCAAAAUUCACUUUUGUUGGUCAACUAACGAUCAAAUGGAUGAAAAUCGCCCAUUUAGACCUUUGCUACAUAUUUUUGAAAGAUGUCACUUUGCUAACACAAAUUGAAUGUUAAAAUAAAAUCUACAAAAAGUGAAAAAUUCGGGAUCACUGUUACAAUUUUCCCUGAAAUUUAUUUAAAAGUGAUCUGACAAGACAAUUACAAUUCAAUAAUUAUAUUUAAAGAUAAACUAUUACUAGUAUUAAUUAGUAGAUAAAUAAAAAAAAAUGUGAUGUAGUGACAAAUAAAGUACUUACUAAAUGUGUAAAAGAGAAAAAAAAAAAAAAAAAUUAAGGAGCAUAGGUUUAUGUAUUAGCGCAAAGGGGGGAAAAUGAAGGUUUUAAAAUGUAGUGUGGAAUAAAUGCAAUUGAUUAAACAAAUAAUAACAUUAUUAACAUAAAAUCAACCCAUAAAUAAUAUCAUAAGAUUUAAUUUAAAAGGGUUAAAAUAUUACAAAUUCUCGAUUUUUCAUUUCAUUAUUAUUAUGUGAAAUUACAUUAAAUAUAUUCAAAAAAUAAAUAAAUUAGAAACACAAUAAUUGUUUAAAUAAAUCACACCAUUCAAAGAAAAACAGGAAUUCUACAUUUUUAUUUAUAGCAAUACGAUCAAUGUUUAAAUAAUAUCAUUGUAUAUGUUCGUGUGUAUGUCAAUAUCACUCACCCUUGAUAAAUAUGUAAUGGUUUUCAAAAUAUUAUUCACGAUGCUUUAUCACUUUUUUUGGUAUUAUAUUUUUAUUAAUCUAUUUUAAAAUCAUACAAAUACAAUGAUUUUAUUUUAAUUUUUCAAGCCAACCGUUUAUAAUUUAAACACAAUAAUUAAUCAUUCACCACUCUACAAUCAAAUAUUUGAAAAAGACAAAAACCAGUAACAAAAAAGAUCGCCUCUGGAUUGAAUCUACCAAUUUUUAUUAACUUGUUCAUGGCCUCAUGUAACAACCGUCAUUUUUUUGACGAGGUUUGUACCUAUUAUGGGGGUGUUUGAGAGUCAUUUUUAUGUAAAAAUACAUUUUAAAAUAGUAAAUUGACGGAAAGUGUGUAGUUGAAAAAUAAGAAAAAAUUUUGAUCUACGUAUAAUAUUAUUUUAAUAAAGAAUGUGUGGUUGAAAAGAAUAGAGAGAAAAAUGCAUUUUAAAAAAAAUGGAUACUAUACGAGAACUAUAUGAGCAUUGCACAUUCAAGUUUAUGAAGUUAUAUUUAUUUUGUAACAAAGGCCAAUACUCGAAAAUUUGAAGUAAGGAAUGUUUCUACGAGGACCACAUGACUAUUUGGAUGAUUUUGUCGUUAUGGACGUUAUACAACUAAAAUACAUGGUGGAGGACCAACUCUGUACUCAAAUGAUAGGUUGACAAAUCUUUUGAGAUUAUAAGCUAAUAUGAACUGCAAGGAAAUGUGUGGUCAGAAAUAAAUUUUCAUUAAAUCUGAAAAAAAAAAUAAAAAAAUACCAAACUUAGUCAAUUCACUACGUCACGUCUUUGAGCUCCUGUUUGGUUUUGUUAAAAAAUAGGAUAUAUUCAGCUUUCAUAUCUGCAACCUGAUCAUUUUAGACCGAUAUUACGAGCAAUCAAAAUCUUGCAUGCUAAUUUAGGCAUGAGUUUUUUCUUUCUACUAAAUAUGUAUUGCUUACCAGGAGCAAUAGAAUUUCCCUAGAGACACCCUUGAAUAGAUAAACUUUCUCGACCGUAGGCAUAAACAAAUGCUGCCGGAUACUUUUACAUAGUGUUUUGGGUAGCUGUUCAAUGAGUUGCUGCUGGUUCAAGCUCUCAGCCUUAAAUCUUAGACACAUAUAAGCCAAUAUCUGAUCUUUCAGCCUAGGAGGCAACUGGUUACGGGACACAAAACUCGAUGCAACUUCAAUGCUACUUCUCUACAAGAAAAUAAAACAAUAAACUCACUUUCUUUCCAUGUAUUUAUCACCUACUUUCUAUCAGAUAGAAAAAAAGACUUACAAAUUCCAUUGUACGGCGAGUGGCCUCAACAACCAAGUUUGUCAUGUUACCAAUAAUAUAAGCAGUUAGGCCUAGAUUGAAAAGCAUGUAGAAAAUUAUGAACACCAUUUCUAAGGUAUUCACUGCAUGUAGAUCACCAUAUCCAACUGUAGUCAUGGUAGUGAUGGACCAAUAUAGGGCUGAAAUGUAUCUUAUCCAAAGGCUCGUCUCUUUGAAAUUUGGAAUAGCAGAUCCAAUCCAUGUCUUUCCUCCAUGUGGAUAUUUGACGGCUAGAAAGUAGUAUAGGCAUCCAGCACAAUGCGCUAGGAUCAAUGUUACCUGGAAACAUAGGUACAAAAUGGUGGUCUAUUCAUACUAUAUACAUAUCCUCUCGAUUGCAUUUUUAAGGGCUUGUUGCCAGUAAGACUCAUAAUGGGAACCUGAUAAAUUCCCAAUCGUCCCCCGGCAUCCAAUAAACAACUUUGAUGGUCUUAUGCUGAAAUUGAGAUUGUUUUGAUAGCAAGUACUUACAAAUAAAAGCCUGGCACAUCUGACCCAAAAAUAGCUGAAUCUGAUAUCUUUUUCAAUCCUGCAAUGCCAUUUGAAUCUCAGAAUCUUAAUAUGUCAUUCCAACUUCUUUACCAAUUCACUAAGGCCUUAGCCAUGGAUACAUAACUUGAUGACAUGUUUUUGGAUAAAAACUGCACCAGCUCGUCUAAGAAUUUUGUAGUCUACUAGAAGAAUUGUGAUAUUAUUUAGUACGGGUGAAAUGUUAACCUUGUAAAGAAGCUCUUGACGCGGCGAAGACGCCAAAAUCUGAGCAUUCCUAGAACUGAGUAAGAGACACCAGCUUGAUGUCUCCCAGUAAUCAAGAAAGCUACUGUCUCGAAUGGGAUUGUUGAAGCCACAUCCAUUAGAAACCAGGUUGAGAGGUACCUAUUUUCCCAAAAAUUUACAAACGAAAUUUAUCCAAAGUCUAAAUUCUAUAUGCAUGUAAUGUACAGUGAAUUGAUACAUUUCAGAUGACUAGGAAUUCCAUUAACGGGCAGUUUUGAUCCUUUAGAACAACUUGAUGAGUUAAUUAGAUUGCUUUAGGAGGCCCUAAUUCAAAGAACGUUGAUUGAAUCAGGUAAAGAGAGCUGAAAAUUUUAAAAAUCAAUGUAAUAAAAUUUAGGGAAAAUUGCACUAACGGUCCCUAACCUUUCAUUUUUUAAGACUUUAUCCUAAUAUUCAAUUUGUAGUCUUUCAAAAAUAUGCAACAAAGGUCCAAAUGAACAAUUCCCAUCCAUUUGAGCGUUAGCUGACCAAGAAAAGUGAAUUUGGAUUAAUUUUGACUAAAUUAAAAUGGGUAAAAUGAUAUCAUGAUAGUUAUCUUAUUAAAUGGGUGUUUGAGCCCCAUUUUUAUUUAAAUAUGCAUUUUAAAAUAGUAAAUUAAUGAAAAAUGUGUUGUUAAAAAAUAAAGAAAUUUUUUUUAUUUAUGUGUAAUCUUAUUUUAAUAAAGGAUGUAAGGUUGAAAAGAAGAGAAAGAAAAAAUAUAUUUUGAAAAAAAUGGGUACCAAACGGAGCCUAAAUAAAUAAUCAAAAAUUAAAAAAUAGGGAAAAAAAUAAAAAGAAAAUUAAGAAAAGAAAUAAAAAGGGUUGUCUCCUUCAGCCACCCCUUGCUCUCUCUAUGUCUCUCUCUCUCCUUGAAAUUAGCCACCAGUACUACUGUCGUCAGUACCACCUCUAGGAAACCAAUCACACUACUGUCGGUAACAUUUCCUUUGCACACCCACCGCCAAAAAUCCAAUCAUACACCCAUCGUCCUUAUACUGAAUCAGUUUUUACUGGCUGUUGACAAAAUUGAACAAAUUUCUCCAAAACCUCGGGAUCUUUCACCAAUUGUUUAUUGCCCAAAGCUACAAUAAGCUAAGGUAAAAGCCUAGCAUCAGUUGAAGCUAAGAACUUGCCAUUUUAUUCCAUUUCCUUCCCGAAUAAAAUCAACCUCAAAACUAGAACGGUAUUUUCUAUGAUUUCUAGCCUCAAAAUUUUAUCAAUCAACAAAUGAAUUUAUAGAAAUGUUGAGGUGGGGUUUUUGGUUUUGGGUGUUGGUUUGAUGCUAUGGAGGAUUUUACUGUGCAGCUCUUGCUCAAUGGUGGGGUGGGGUUUUUGGUGUAGGUUUGAUGGUUGUGGUGGCGGUUGGUUUUGGGUGGCCUUGACCGAUCUGGAGGAUGUGGGGUCGACUUUGUUGGUUGUUGUGGAAAGGUGCAUAGGGAUGGGAAUGGGGUGUUUGGAGGAGACCAUUUUUUUUCUUUCCAUUUUUUGGUUCAUUUAUUUAGCCAUGUUUGAACCACAUUAUUGUAAAAAUGAAAAUGAAAAAUAUAAUCAUUAUUGGUCUCACACAAAAGAUAAAAAGUCAAAUAUGAUAAUUUAAUAUGAUGGAUAAUGAUCAUAUUUUUCAUUUUAAUGAGAAAAUAAUAAGACUCAAACAGGGUCUUAAUAUGAUAAUUAUUAAGUUACCAUUCUAGCAUUUUUAAUUUGGUUAAGAUUAAUCAAAACUCACUUUUGUUGGUCAACUAACGACCAAAUGGAUGAAAAUCGUCCAUUUGGACCUUUGCUACAUAUUUUUGAAAGAUGUCACUUCGCUAACACAAAUUGAAUGUUAAGAUAAAAUCUACAAAAAAUGAAAAAUUCGGGAUCACUGUUACAAUUUUCCCUGAAAUUUAUUUAAAAAUGAUCUUACAAGACAAUUACAAUUCAAUAAUUAUAUUUAAAGAUAAACUAUUACUAGUAUUAAUUAGUAGAUAAAUAAAAAAAUUGUAAUGUAGUGACCAAUAAAGUACUUACUAAAUGUGUAAAAGAGAAAAAAAAAAUAAAAAAAUUAAGGAGCAUAGGUUUAAGUAUUAGCGCAAAGGGGGGAAAAUGAAGGUUUUAAAAUGUAGUGUGGAAUAAAAUGCAAUUGAUUAAACAAAUAAUAA
rnacentral:lncRNA from 1 species